AAGGCCUGAUGUGUGUGAGAUUACCCGCUGAAUUUAAGCAUAUAAGUAAGCGGAGGAAAAGAAACUAACUAGGAUUCCCUUAGUAAUGGCGAAUGAACAGGGAUCAGCUCAGUGCCAAAUCGGAAUCACUUGUGGUUCUGAAAUGUGGCUUGAAGGCAGUACCAGUGGCAUCGCGGACGAAAGUCUCUUGGAAAAGAGCGUCAUAGAGGGUGAGAAUCCCGUGAGUCGUUCGCCGUUUGUCACGUACGGUCUGCGUUCUAACGAGUCGCGUUCCUUGGGAUUGGAGCGUAAACGGGUGGUAAAUUUCAUCCAAAGCAAAAUAUAUACUCGAGACCGAUAGCACAAAAGUACCGUGAGGGAAAGGUGAAAAGAACUUUGAGAAGAGGGUUAAAUAGUGCCUGAAAUCGUUGAGAAGGAAGCGGAUGCCGCCGUUGCAUAUGCUGAUUGUAGGAUUGCUGCUCGCUCCUGUCUUCUGCUACUCAUUCACAGACCUGGUCGUGUUGAGCAGUUGUUUGGCAGAUGUUAGUGGUGUUUCCUACUUUCAGUCGUCAGCAUCACUGGCUGAGUGGAAAUAAUCCUUGGAUGCUAAUUGGUUCGCUAUCUGUGAAUUGGUUGCUUCCCUUGCGAUACUCACUACUCGGUCAGUGAGGAAGUGCGUUUGCUGGUCAACGAGCUUUCUA
rnacentral:ncRNA from 1 species